CACGUAGGGUGCGAGCGUUAAUCGGAAUUACUGGGCGUAAAGCGUGCGCAGGCGGCUUGCUAAGACCGAUGUGAAAUCCCCGGGCUCAACCUGGGAACUGCAUUUGUGACUGCAUGGCUAGAGUUUGGCAGAGGGGGGUAGAAUUCCACGUGUAGCAGUGAAAUGCGUAGAUAUGUGGAGGAACACCGAUGGCGAAGGCAGCCCCCUGGGUCAAGACUGACGCUCAUGCACGAAAGCGUGGGGAGCAAACAGG
rnacentral:rRNA from 1 species